rnacentral:rRNA from 1 species
UACGGAGGGUGCAAGCGUUCUCCGGAUUCACUGGGUUUAAAGGGUGCGUAGGUGGGCAGGUAAGUCAGUGGUGAAAUCUUUGGGCUUAACCCGAAAACUGCCAUUGAUACUAUUCGUCUUGAAUAUUGUGGAGGUCAGCGGAAUAUGUCAUGUAGCGGUGAAAUGCUUAGAUAUGACAUAGAACACCAAUUGCGAAGGCAGCUGGCUACACAUAUAUUGACACUGAUGCACGAAAGCGUGGGGAUCAAACAGG